rnacentral:rRNA from 1 species
GACGAACGCUGGCGGCGUGCUUAACACAUGCAAGUCGAACGGAAAGGCCUGCUUUCCCUUGUGGAUUGCGGGUACUCGAGUGGCGAACGGGUGAGUAACACGUGAGUGAUCUGCCCCCAACUUGGGUAUAAGCCUGGGAAACUGGGUCUAAUUCCCGAUAGGACUGCAGGGUGGUGCCUGUGGUGGAAAACGAUUUUCUCGUGGUUGGGGAUGAGCUCGCGGCCUAUCAGCUUGUUGGUGGGGUAAUGGCCUACCAAGGCGGCGACGGGUAGCCGGCCUGGGAGGGUGGACGGCCACAUUGGGACUGAGGUACGGCCCAGACUCCUACGGGAGGCAGCAGUGGGGAAUAUUGCACAAUGGGCGGAAGCCUGAUGCAGCGACGCCGCGUGGGGGAUGACGGCCUUCGGGUUGUAAACUCCUUUCGACCGCGAGGAAGCCACCUGGUUGGAAGGGUGGUGACGGUAGUGGUAGAAGAAGCACCGGCUAACUACGUG